CCGGAGCCGUUCCUAUUCGGCCAUCUUGGCUCCUCCAGGCCCUUAAAAUUAUAUUUCUUUCAUACUAAAGUGUGGGAGGAAAUAUGGGUAUCACCUUCCUGGCGAUUUCCCAUGGCUGGGACCUCUUAGGAAGCAGUCUCCCUAGAGUAUUUCAAAAUAAUUAUGAAAUACCUACUUCCUGUCGAAAGGUGUCCCUCCUAUUUACUCUGAGUUUUCAUAAAUAAUUUACAAUACAAAAGUAUUUGAUGGUGUGACAUUUUAAAGACAAGGAACAGAAUGAUUCCUAAAGGCUCCUCCAUAUCUAUAACAUUUUAAAAAAUCAACCGAUUGCUGUUUGUAAUCUCUCCCUGAUUUUGCUGCAAAUGACUAAUCUUAGUAUUUUCCUUCUUGUUGCAGUUCUCACCUUGAUGAUUUUAUAAAUACCUGUGCAAUCAUUUAAGGAUGCUGUUAUAACUUGCUAUCACAGGAUUCAGGUCCAAGAACCCUCUCUUAGGAUCUGCACUGGGACCUACCCCUUUUUGGCAACAUGUUCUUGGCAACCACGAAGGGACUAUCCUGAGGAGAUCCCUGACCCAAAGGAAAUAGACUGCAGAACCAAUUGGCUGACUUUGGCGGGUCAAAGAAUAUGUGAGAUUCCCCACACAUUUAUGCCACAGGAGGAGAAAAGCCUGCCUAGGGGUGUUUUAACUUAUGCCCAGAAGUACCACCUGGAAGAGGCAACGAGACUUUAUUCAUAAGAAUCUAAGUGGAGCAUUCUCCCAGACAACCAGCGGCGGAGCAAGGAGGGGCUGGCCAAACAGUGACGUUGACUGGUGCAUGAGACGAACAGAGGCUCACAGAAGAGCCUCUGAAGAGCCCACAAAAAAUGUCCAUAAGGUAAAAGAGUCAGCUUUGAACUUAUUUUUCAGUAGGCAACAGAAGCUUCACAGAAGAGAGCUUGAAGCUCUCUUGAAGCAGCAUCAUGGUUCAAGCAAUA
rnacentral:lncRNA from 1 species